GGGCUUGUGGCGCAGUGGUAGCGCAUCGGUCUGGCAGACCGAGGGUCAGCGGUUCGAACCCGCUCAGGUCCA
rnacentral:tRNA from 1 species